rnacentral:snRNA from 1 species
GUGCUUGCUUUAGCAGCAUGUAUGCCAAAAUUGGAAUACAGAGAAGAAUAACAUGGCCCUGUGCAAGGAUAACAGGCCAAUUCAGGAAGCAUUAAGCCGCCUA